AUUUCAGGACGCCUGUGUGUAACAGCUUUGUCGGAUGAUAGCCUUUCUUACUGCUGUGUGUGCCCUCAUCUUCAUGCUCUCCAAAGCUUCCUACGGUUGUAUCCUAUUUUGAUCAUUUUGUUUUUUUGUGCUCUAUUUUCUAUUGGACUUUGUUAAAUUCGUGUACUGUUUGGGAUGGUUCCUUUGUUGUACUUUUUAGUAAUUACAAACUUAUUCACUAUUUCUGAGUGUGAUGGAGACCCACAUAAACGGCUUGCCGUUCACCCCAAGUUCAAGCUCAGCUCAAUGGCCUGACUGCAACCGUGUGGUUGAAGCCAUCUUUGCUAAGUUCUGCUUUACAAUCACCGGUCGCAAGAAGAGCCCAGAAGACACCCGCGGCAGGUGGACCCAAGUCAUCCAUGCAUGAGGGAGUGCAUCGUGACCAAUGCACAAGUGAUGGCUGAGACGAGGUUGGAACUUCCAGGCACAGUGGUAUGAGAUCAAAAGGAGCUAAGACAGUAAGGAGCUAAUCAGGAAAGUCGUUGUGCUGACACUGAAAGAAGAAGAGAAUAUCUGGAAAAAGAAAGGGCUUCCAAAUGACCCUCCGAAAGACAUGAUCCCUUGUCAGUCUGGGCCCACCUCGAUCCAGUUUUGAAGGUAGUGAGAGAACGACACCUACACGUCACAAUAAUUUUAUCAGUUAUGGGCCUGCUAUGCGGUAUCUACAAAGGACAUAUAUCUUCCCUCUCAGCAAAGCCCUACUAGUAUGGAUUCAACGAAAUGACAUCGAAUUACUUUGCGGCAAGUCAUGGCAAAGGGGCACCAGAUGCUGUGGGUGGGGUCCUCAAGAGCUCAGCAGAUACAGAUAUCCCUGAUGCUCAGACCUAGUAUGACAAGCUGAAAAGCCUUGACACAUCUGUCGAGUUGUUCUUCAUCUCAGAAAAUGAUAUUGUAUCCAAAAGUGAAGUACCUGCAAUAGCUGCCAUAAAGGACACCAUGAGAAUCCACCAAGCAUUUAAGAGGUCACUCCUGCUGAUUCAUCUAACGAGUCCCCAUCAUGUGGAAAGACAUCAGAAAAUACUUGGAGACCAAAUAUGAUUGCGGUAAAACACAUUGGAAACUGGUGUGUCGUUAAUAAUGACAAUGAAGCAUAUUCAGAUGUCAUCAGAGAGGUCUAAGGGCACAGUGUGAAAGUUCAGUGUAUGCACCGCCAUGGCAUAAACAAGUUCUAUUGGCCAAGUACCUGGGAUGACAUUUGUUGGUACCAUGACUGGCAGGUACUUUGCCGAAUACCAGAACCACAGGGUGUGAACAAGCGCUCUGUACAGAUUGAACCAUCUUGGGCCAUGCCUCUGCAGAAAUAAAAUUUGUUUAUAGAUGUGCCUCAUUGGUGUUCAGUUAUGUUCAUUUGUUUCUCUUCAGGUCAAUCAUUAUUCAGCAAUUUACCAUCUCAUUGUACAGUUCAAUGUUUGGCUGAUUCAGCAGAAUCAUCCAUGGAGUUAAGUUGUAGAAUGCCACAAUUAUGGCUCAUUUUGGUGUUUUGGUAGGUUCUGGUAGUUCCAUCUGAAGGGGAUAGGACCUCUGGUAUAUAUAUUUACAUUUAAAUUAUUUGAUUCAUUCAAAGAUCUUUCACAAUUUGUCCACUCUGUCAUGCUAGGUCAACCCUGUCAGUUUACUGUCCACUCUGUUAUUUUUUAUAUUCUAGGAAAAUAAUGCAUUUUUUUUCACAAGUUAGCAAACUUUUUGUGCGAUUUCUGCAUGAACAAGUAAGGGCCUUAUAGUAUCAGCUGAAAAUUUGACCACAUAUCUUUGUUGACAGAUUUUAUUAAGAAAAGAAUGUAGAAUUUUUGCUGAUUUUCAGGAAAAUCAAAUAAUUUCCCCUAAUUAUUAUCCAAAUACUUUUCCAAUUAAACAAAACGUAGGCUGUAGAUAAGGACAAAAAACCUUCCUGAAAAUAUACAUUUUAUAAUCACUAUGCAAUUAGAAUAUAUUUAUUCUGCUUUGAAUUUGUCCAUGACAGAGUUGACAUAAUUUGCUGUUUACGUGUACUUUGUCUGCUUGUAGUUAUUAUUAAAAAAGUGUGGGAGCUUGACCGACGUGCAUUCCUAACAGUACAACAGGUAAUUGAUACUAUAAAUGUGAAGUUGAAUGGAAAAUCUCAGCUUUUUUUGGGGCAAGUUGGAAGUUCUCAAAGGCACCGUAUAUUGAUAAUGACCCUGAAGACUGCUGUUCACAAACACACUCCAUCCAACCUCACUGAGCUCGAGCUGUUUUGCAAGGAAGAAUGGGCAAGAAUGUCAGUCUCUCGAUGUUCAAAACUGAUAGAAACAUACCCCAAGCGACUUGCAGCUGUAAUUGGAGCAAAAGGUGGCGCUACAAAGU